AUCCAGCUGACGAGUCCCAAACAGGACGAAGCGCGCGUCCUGGAU
rfam:Schistosoma margrebowiei strain Zambia genome assembly, scaffold: SMRZ_scaffold0002649